rnacentral:lncRNA from 1 species
GCCUGUAAAGCACUGGGAUAUGUUCUGAAGGUUCACAGUGUGUUUCAGAUCGCCGGGGGUAGGGGCGGGGGGCCAAGGGCUUUGUCAGGGGACACUGGUUCCCACCUGAUGGGACCAUGUCCAAAAGCGCGUCCCCAUCUUUCUUCCUUAUCAUAUACUAUCAUAAUUAAUAUAUUAAUCUCAGGUGGAAGCAUCUUACU